rnacentral:rRNA from 1 species
UGAGUAACGCGUGGGUAACCUGCCCUUAAGUCUGGGAUACCAUUUGGAAACAGAUGCUAAUACCGGAUAAAAGCUACUUUCGCAUGAAAGAAGUUUAAAAGGCGGCGUAAGCUGUCGCUAAAGGAUGGACCUGCGAUGCAUUAGCUAGUUGGUAAGGUAACGGCUUACCAAGGCGAUGAUGCAUAGCCGAGUUGAGAGACUGAUCGGCCACAUUGGGACUGAGACACGGUCCAAACUCCUACGGGAGGCAGCAGGC